UUUAGAUGAACAUGACCAACUGGUGGAUGUCCUUGGCCUGUAGUGCAAGGAUGAAUAUAUGAUUCCAGAUAUAUAUUGAUUGAUGAUAUAGGGAUAAAAAUAUUGAUGAUGGACUGUUAAAUUCAUAGAUAUUAGUAGAUUUCAUCCUCUACGUAACUCUUCUAUGAAUUAAUAUUUUCCGCUGCGAAUAUUGAUUUAAAACUUGUUGUCUAUUGUAUUCUAUUAUAUUUUUCCCUGUUGAAGACUAACGAUAAUUUUGUUGUAUAUUAUCUUAGUCAUAAUAUUCUUUACUGGGCUAGUCGAGCUCAUUCUUUUCCUU
rnacentral:lncRNA from 1 species